CAAACCUGGGUUGGACUCUCGCUUGGGGACACACAAGGGAAAGGCCCCCAGAGGGGCUAUGGGGAAAAUGAGGGUCAAUGCUCUGAUGCUGUCCAGAAUCCUCAGUUACCCCGGGGCCUCCUCUCUAUCAACUCAUAGAUAAAGAAUGGAAAAGCUCCUCUUGGUGAAUAAUGCUUUCUUCAUUCCUCCCGGGGUCUGACCCCACCACUAAGAUCCUCUGCAUGAACCUUGGUCAUCGCUGCAGACUCCCACUCAGUGUCAGGGGUGAAAAAAAGAGGAAGUAAAAGUGAGCUCUCUGGAAAGAUCUGAAGCCACUGCCUGGGCUCCCACCAACUUCUGCGGUUCACUUGUCCCUCCCCACCUAGUGCAGGCUCCCUUGCUGGUGCUCCCUUCACUCAGCCUUCAAGAGAGAUGCACCGUAGCUCUGCACUCACCAUGUCCUUUCUAGACAACCCCCACUCAAGGCCUCUCCUCCAGGCUAGCUCCAGGUAGAAUAGAGCCCAUUUUCCCAGGGCCGCUACUCUGCAAUCCCUUUCCUGUCAAGGAUGAAAAUCUUUCCUUAAUUUUUCACAGAAUGUCAGAAAAUGAACGAGACCUUAGAGACCAUCUACCUGUUUCUCUGAUGGGGAGACUGAGGCCAUGAACAGGUUAGUGACAGGCUCAAGGUGAGAUAGAAGACGAAUGGCUACAUUUGUGCUGGUUUGCUUAUUUCUGGGCUCUCAAUGUAGUGCCCUUUGUCAUCUACUGCACUAUCUCUUUAUUAUAACAUUCAUACAAUUAGCACAUACCCUGUGCAGAGCACCAGGUAGAGGACUGCACAGGGAGGGAGAAGUGAAUUAGACAUGAUGCUUCCUUUUCAGAAGAGAUGCUAAAGUAAGAAUCCAUGGAAAGUAGGACUGAAUUUAGGAAUAAAUCUGAUCAGUACUUACCCCAAGCUUCCAGCAUCUAAGAUUUCUUGCUUUCUGGAUUGGAUCUGCCCCAGGUCUAAUUGCAUGCAGUAGCCAAGAAUACUCCUGAGCAUGGGAAUAGGGG
rnacentral:lncRNA from 1 species